UACGUAGGGUGCGAACGUUGUUCGGAAUCACUGGGCAUAAAGGGCGCGUAGGCGGGCUGUCAAGUCUGGGGUGAAAUCCCACGGCUCAACCGUGGAACUGCCUUAGAUACUGACGGCCUCGAGGGAGAUAGGGGCGAGCGGAACUGUGAGUGGAGCGGUGAAAUGCGUUGAUAUUCACAGGAACUCCGGUGGCGAAGGCGGCUCGCUGGAUCUUU
rnacentral:rRNA from 1 species